AUUGAACGCUGGCGGCAUGCCUUACACAUGCAAGUCGAACGGCAGCGCGGACUUCGGUCUGGCGGCGAGUGGCGAACGGGUGAGUAAUACAUCGGAACGUACCCUGUUGUGGGGGAUAACUAGUCGAAAGAUAGCUAAUACCGCAUACGACCUGAGGGUGAAAGUGGGGGACCGCAAGGCCUCACGCAGCAGGAGCGGCCGAUGUCUGAUUAGCUAGUUGGUGGGGUAAAGGUCCACCAAGGCGACGAUCAGUAGCGGGUCUGGGAGGACGAUCAUCCACAGUGGGACUGAGAGCCGGCGCGGACACCUACGGGUGUCAGCAGUGGGGAAUUUUGGACAAUGGGGGCAACCAUGAUCCAGCAAUGCCGCGUGUGUGAAGAAGGCCUUCGGGUUGUAAAGCACUUUUGUCCGGAAAGAAAUCGCGCUGGUUAAUACCUGGCGUGGAUGACGGUACCGGAAGAAUAAGCACCGGCUAACUACGUGCCAGCAGCCGCAGUAA
rnacentral:rRNA from 1 species